rnacentral:rRNA from 1 species
UACAGGGGGGGCAAGCGUUGUUCGGAAUUACUGGGCGUAAAGGGUUCGUAGGUGGCCAUCUAAGUCAGACGUGAAAUCCCUCAGCUUAACUGGGGAACUGCGUCUGAUACUGGUUGGCUUGAGUGCAGGAGAGGAAUGCGGAAUUCCAGGUGUAGCGGUGAAAUGCGUAGAUAUCUGGAGGAACACCGGUGGCGAAGGCGGCAUUCUGGGACGGUACUGACGCUGAGACGCGAAAGCGUGGGGAGCGAACAGG